CAUAAGGAGAGUGCCAAACAAAGGCUAUUACUUAAAUAGGGCUUAUCAGGAGAGGUGAACAGAGUAGAUAUUGAGAACUUGUUAUUAUAUAAUCCGGGUGGCUUAGAGUCUAUCGUUGAUAAGGACAACUCUACCAAGGCUUCCAAAGUAU